rnacentral:rRNA from 1 species
CACGUAGGGUGCGAGCGUUGUCCGGAAUUAUUGGGCGUAAAGAGCUCGUAGGCGGUGUGUCGCGUCGGCCGUGAAAACCUGCAGCUUAACUGUGGGCUUGCGGUCGAUACGGGCAUCACUGGAGUUCGGCAGGGGAGACUGGAAUUCCUGGUGUAGCGGUGAAAUGCGCAGAUAUCAGGAGGAACACCGGUGGCGAAGGCGGCUUUCUGGACGACAACUGACGCUGAGACGCGAAAGCGUGGGGAGCAAACAGG